rnacentral:misc_RNA from 1 species
AGCGUGUUAGCCGGUGCAACCAGUCAUGGGUCAGCUACCACGCACGAGGACACAGCUUGAAUUUCCGUUUUAUAAUUGUAGUGUCGACUACGCCGGACCAAUGCUGAUAGCUGACCGUAAAGGCAGAGGUGCCAGACUCAUUAAAUCCUAUAUCUGUGUGUUCGUCUGUUUGGCAGUAAAGGCUGUUCAUCUGGAGCUUGUGACGGAUCUCACCAAAGACGCCUAUCUUGCCGCGUUAAAGAGAUUCGUUGCUCGUCGGGGUAAACCACACAGUAUCCUCUCUGAUAACGGCACAGCUUUUGUGGGCGUAUUUAAUGAGCUUGCACAAUUCUUGGCUAAUUCAAAUUUAGAAACCUAUUUUGCACAAGAAGCGAUAAAGUUUAGCUUUACUCCUCCUUAUAGUCCACAUUUUAAUGGUAUAACAGAGGCCGCCGUUAAGUCUACAAAAAGACACUUAAAAACCAUUGUUCAUUCUUCUCAUCUAACAUAUGAGGAGAUGAACACAUACCUAGUCCAAAUUGAGGCUAUAUUAAAUUCCCGUCCCCUUGUUGCUCUUUCUUCGUCUCCUGACGACCUUACCGCUCUCACUCCUUCGCACCUUUUAAUUGGACGACCGCUAAUAUCCGUUUCUCAGCCGCAGGUACACUCCGUCAACAUCACUCGAUUGGACCGCUACAAAAGAAUUGAGCAUCUACGGCAACACUUUUGGAACCGAUUCAGUCAUGAAUAUGUUGUCAUGUUGCAGCAGAGAACCAGAUGGCAUGCGUCCACAGGCGAAAUUAAGCUGAAUCAGUUAGUUCUGAUCAGAGAGAAAACGCAACCACCACUACAUUGGCUAUUAGGCCGUAUCGUCAAGGUGUUUCCUGGUGCUGACGGCAUCACGAGGGUGGCGGAAAUCAAAACCAAGAAGGGCAACAUCACAAGGGCCUUCAACAACAUAUGUCCUUUACCUAUUGAAGACGAUGUUUCAACCCGGGCAGGAUGUUCGGAAACCUCUAGAACAUAGGAACGACGUCGAUGGAGGCGCCACCGGCGAUGGCAUCGGAGGGGGGACAGCGCGGCGCGGGGGGCAGCCACGUACGAGGAUCGCGGGCCGCUCACACACCUUACCGAUCAGCUGUGAAAAUUCCUCAGUCAUUUCUACAGCCCA